AUUUAACGCUGGCGGCAGGCUUAACACAUGCAAGUCGAGCGAGUGGCGGACGGGUGAGUAAUGGCUGGGAAACUGCCUGUUGGAGGGGGAUAACUACUGGAACCGGUAGCUAAUACCGCAUACCAUCAGAUGUGCCCAGAUGGGAUUAGCUAGCAGGUGGGGUAAUGGCUCACCUAGGCGACGAUCCCUAGCUGGUCUGAGCGGAUGACCAGCCACACUGGAACUGAGACACGGUCCAAACUCCGACGGAGAGCAGCAGUGGGGAAUAUUGCACAAUGGGCGCAAGCCUGAUGCAGCCAUGCCGCGUGUGUGAAGAAGGCCUGCGGGUUGUAGAGCACUUUCAGCGAGGAGGCGUUACUCGCAGAAGAAGCACCGGCUAACUCCGUGCCAGCAGCCGCGGUAAUUC
rnacentral:rRNA from 1 species